CCCCUUGUAGCAUAAAUGGAUAAUGCUCCUUUCUGACUCAGAGGACGAUGUGGGUUCGAAUCCCACUGAGGGGG
rnacentral:tRNA from 1 species